CACACACACACACACACACACACACACACACACACACACACACACACACACCCAUCCACCCCAGUUUUAUUGCCCUGACAAGAAAUAAGAAAAAGAGAAGAAUAAAGAAAAUGAAUUAAGAAAUUAAUGAAAUGUCAAACCAUUGAUCUGACAUAUGUAUGUCUUAGUUACAAAUGAUCUAGGAAAAUUUGGUUAUGUCUUCAAGUCUUUGGAAAUCCAACAUCAGAACAGAACUUCUACGAUCUCCUUCUAAACAUUAAGAGAGCAUGGCAUUUUUAUCAGAACAAGACCAGCAUAUCUGACACAAUUGUCUAUGAAAACGUAUCAAACAAAACGAGGUCCUCCAGGCUAAGGGAUAGAAUAACUGAAAACUUUGAGCAUGUCUACAGCGCACUUCAAAACACGACUGACACCGGCUUACAGAAGCCAGGGCACCCUUCAGGCCCAGGAGCUGUGCAGAAGGAGCUGUACAUGUUUCCUGCUCCAUCAUCUGCCUCAGUUUGUCUUUCUCGGACACCAGGGAGCCCAGAGCCGACUUCAGUACUCACAGCUGUUGGCCACACGGCAGAAAUCUUCUUGCAGUUUGGACACAUCUACAGACAGCUCAAGAGGCUCUGGAUAGUUUUUCUCAAUGGCCAGAUCGGCAGAGGAGAGGUUGGGAUUAGAGGCGUGAAGACGCACGGAACCUGAGGAGAUACAGCUGGGGACCUAUGAGAGGAUGAAAAGCAUCAUAUUAGGAUAGAAAAAAUUUUUGUGUUGAAACAAAAUGUUAGGUUAGGUUAUUCCAACAGGGGCAAAAUCCCCUCACACUGAAAGCCAACAGUGUCCUUAAUAAUAAUAAUAAACUAUAAAUAAUUAAUUUGUUUAUAUUAAAUAAAAGUGUCCACAAAGGUGCAUCAAGAUGUUACAAGGCUAAUAAGGUUCAUAUAGAAUUACAAAAUAGGCUAAAGGAAACAAAAUUUACAAAAAACUUCUUACUGUCAACAAAUUAGCACCUGAGUCUCUAAAUAUUUGUACAUAUAUUUCAAUAUAGACACAUUUAACAUGUUUCAGGUCAGUGUUUUUCUUUAAUCUGGUACAGAUUGAAAUAGAAAAGCACAAAACCUGCAGCGUUGUUUUGUUGUCCUUGCUGUAAUGUUUGGAACGCCAUUUCCUGGGAUGUCUUUUUUCUUUUUUUGGGCUGUCAUAUGUAUAUGCCUGCAAGUAGAAAAAAAAAGAUUUUAAAUUUACAGGAAGUGUUUCUAUGGUUAUUAGACUAAAUGGGCAAAAUUCUAAUUUGAGAGCAGUGUAUGUUUAAAUAGAUGCUUACAAAAUCAUAGGAGCAAACACUAUUUAGGAGAUAUGAGGAGAUUCAUCUGUUUUUUAGUCUAUUUGAAUUUGGCAGUCAGAGACAUUUACGCAUAAGUACUAAUAUAGAGCUAUAUAAAAAGAGAGUAAAUUUAGUGUUUGAUUUUCAAAUGCUUAUCUAGAAUGCAUGAUACAUUUUUAGCAUGUCAAUGUCUGACUAAUAGUGACUAAAAAUCAGGUCUCACAGAAUUCACACCUACAUUCCUUCUUAUCUGCUAAAAUAAAAACAUUGUUCUAGUCCGA